rnacentral:rRNA from 1 species
UACGGAGGGUGCGAGCGUUGUCCGGAAUCACUGGGCGUAAAGGGCGCGUAGGCGGCUCAUGAAGGCUGUGGUGAAAGUCCGGGGCUCAACCUCGGAUCGGCCGUGGCGACUCGUGGGCUGGAGCACUGUAGAGGCGGGUGGAAUUCCGGGUGUAGCGGUGGAAUGCGUAGAGAUCCGGAAGAACACCAGUGGCGAAGGCGGUUACCUGGACAGUUACUGACGCUCAGGCACGAAAGCAUGGGGAGCAAAAGGG